UUAUGCCGCGUGAGUGAAGAAGGCCUUUGGGUUGUAAAGCUCUUUUGUAGGGGAAGAUAAUGACUGUACCCUAAGAAUAAGGUCCGGCUAACUUCGUGCCAGCAGCCGCGGUAAUACGAAGGGACCUAGCGUAGUUCGGAAUUACUGGGCGUAAAGCGCGCGUAGGCCGUUGAGUUAGUUAAUUGUGAAAUCCCAAAGCUUAACUUUGGAACUGCAAUUAAAACUGCUCGACUAGAGUUUGAUAGAGGAAAGCGGAAUACAUAGUGUAGAGGUGAAAUUCGUAGAUAUUAUGUAGAACACCAGUUGCGAAGGCGGCUUUCUGGGUCAACACUGACGCUGAGGCGCGAAAGUAUGGGUAGCAAAGAGGAUUAGAUACCCUCGUAGUCCAUACCAUAAACGAUGAUUGCUAGAUGUUGGAAAUUUAUUUUCAGUAUCGCAGCUAACGCAUUAAGCAAUCCGCCUGGGGAGUACGACCGCAAGGUUAAAACUCAAAUGAAUUGACGGGGACCCGCACAAGCGGUGGAGCAUGUGGUUUAAUUCGAAGAUACGCGCAGAACCUUACCAACCCUUGACAUGUCUGUCGCGAGUUUAGGAAACUAGACUUUUCGGUUCGGCCGGA
rnacentral:rRNA from 1 species